rnacentral:tRNA from 1 species
GCUCGCGUAGCUCAGUGGUUUAGAGCGUCCUGCUUGUAGAAUGACACAUCUUAAGAUGUUCAUUCCGAAACAGGAAGGUCCCUGGUUCGAAUCCGGGCGUGAGCU